rnacentral:tRNA from 1 species
UCCCUGGAGGACUAGUGGUUCGGCCACAGCACUCUUACCGCUGAGGCCUGGGUUCAAUUCUCAGCCAGGGUU